ACAGCUCCGCUGCGCGAUGCCGCAGGACUGUUUGCGAAGCGUUACGAUGCAUCCGAAGGCGCGGCUUAUCUGCUGCGCCCUGACGGUUAUGUCGCGGCGCGCUUCAGGAAGCCGACGCGCAAGACCGUCGAGGCCGCCAUCGCCCGCGCAAGUGCACAAACGUGAGCUACGCAUGACACUCUCGACACAAUCGAAUUUCGCCGAUCCCGACGCCGCCGNGCUGGUGGUGGAAGCCCAUCGCGGCCUGCGCGACGAGGACAGUGUAUCGCUGGACACGGC
rnacentral:misc_RNA from 1 species